AAUGGGCGCAAGCCUGAUCUAGCCAUGCCGCGUGAGUGAUGAAGGCCUUAGGGUCGUAAAGCUCUUUCGCCUGUGAUGAUAAUGACAGUAGCAGGUAAAGAAACCCCGGCUAACUCCGUGCCAGCAGCCGCGGUAAUACGGAGGGGGUUAGCGUUGUUCGGAAUUACUGGGCGUAAAGCGCACGUAGGCGGAUUGGAAAGUUGAGGGUGAAAUCCCGGGGCUCAACCCCGGAACUGCCUCCAAAACUAUCAGUCUAGAGUUCGAGAGAGGUGAGUGGAAUUCCAAGUGUAGAGGUGAAAUUCGUAGAUAUUUGGAGGAACACCAGUGGCGAAGGCGGCUCACUGGCUCGAUACUGACGCUGAGGUGCGAAAGUGUGGGGAGCAAACAGGAUU
rnacentral:rRNA from 1 species